AACGAACGCUGGCGGCAUGCCUAACACAUGCAAGUCGAACGAGACCUUCGGGUCUAGUGGCGCACGGGUGCGUAACGCGUGGGAACCUGCCCUUAGGUUCGGAAUAACUCCCCGAAAGGGGUGCUAAUACCGGAUAAUGUCUUCGGACCAAAGAUUUAUCGCCUUUGGAUGGGCCCGCGUUGGAUUAGCUAGUUGGUAGGGUAAAAGCCUACCAAGGCGACGAUCCAUAGCUGGUCUGAGAGGAUGAUCAGCCACACUGGAACUGAGACACGGCCCAGACUCAUACGGGAGGCAGCAGUGGGGAAUAUUGGACAAUGGGCGAAAGCCUGAUCCAGCAGUGCCGCGUGAGUGAUGAAGGCCUUAGGGUUGUAAAGCUCUUUUACCCGGGAUGAUAAUGACAGUACCGGGAGAAUAAGCUCCGGCAAACUCCGU
rnacentral:rRNA from 1 species